UUCUGAGUGUAAUUCCCAUGACUUUCCCUACUAAAACUGCUGAAUGUUGUUGCAAAAUAACUCUAGCUAAAUUAUUUUUUCAAAAUUUUCCAAGUUCGUACAAGACAAUAAUGAGAAGUAAGUUCUAUACAGAUCUGAAAAAAAUUGAGAUCUUUGCAGUAUCGAAAGCUUUGCAGUAAUAAAUUUACGUGGUGUUUCCACAAACAAAACCUAUUAUAAGUUGUCACAAGUCUGUUCACAAGCUGUCAACAAGUUGUGUUCGCACUGCUUGUUCCCAGUUUGUUGUAACAAGUUUGGAACAAGCUGUUAACAACUUGUAACAAGCUUGAUGGCAUUAUCAGCC